CAGCCGCCACGGGAAUACGUAGGGUGCAAGCGUUAAUCGGAAUUACUGGGCGUAAAGCGCACGUAGGCGGAUCGAUCAGUCAGGGGUGAAAUCCUGGAGCUCAACUCCAGAACUGCCUUUGAUACUGUCGAUCUCGAGUCCGGAAGAGGUGAGUGGAACUCCUAGUGUAGAGGUGGAAUUCGUAGAUAUUAGGAAGAACACCAGUGGCGAAGGCGGCUCACUGGUCCGGUACUGACGCUGAGGUGCGAAAGCGUGGGGAGCAAACAGGAUUAGAGACCCCAGUAGUCCCUGUCUCUUAUAC
rnacentral:rRNA from 1 species